rnacentral:rRNA from 1 species
GACGAACGCUGGCGGCGUGCUUAACACAUGCAAGUCGAGCGGUAAGGCCCUUUCGGGGGUACACGAGCGGCGAACGGGUGAGUAACACGUGGGUGACCUGCCCUCAGCUCUGGGAUAAGCCUGGGAAACCGGGUCUAAUACCGGAUAUGACUCCAUGACGCAUGUUGUGGGGUGAAAGCCUUGUGCGGCUGAGGAUGGGCCCGCGGCCUAUCAGCUUGUUGGUGGGGUGAUGGCCUACCAAGGCGACGACGGUAGCCGGCCUGAGAGGGCGACCGGCCACACUGGGACUGAGACACGGCCCAGACUCCUACGGGAGGCAGCAGUGGGGAAUCUUGCGCAAUGGGCGAAAGCCUGACGCAGCGACGCCGCGUGAGGGAUGACGGCC